UACGAAGGCAGCAAGCGUUGUUCGGAGUUACUGGGCGUAAAGAGUGCGUAGGCGGUGUCGAAAGUUUGGCGUGAAAUCUCCCGGCUUAACUGGGAGGGUGCGCCGAAUACUGAAUGACUAGAGUGCGGGAGAGGAGAGUGGAAUUCCUGGUGUAGCGGUGAAAUGCGUAGAUAUCAGGAGGAACACCGGUGGUGUAGACGGCUCUCUGGACCGUAACUAACGCUGAGGCACGAAAGCGUGGGUAGCAAACAGG
rnacentral:rRNA from 1 species